GAUGAACGCUGGCGGCGUGCCUAAUGCAUGCAAGUCGAGCGAACGGACGAGAAGCUUGCUUCUCUGAUGUUAGCGGCGGACGGGUGAGUAACACGUGGAUAACCUACCUAUAAGACUGGGAUAACCUCGGGAAACCGUAGCUAAUACCGGAUAAUAUUUUGAACCGCAUGGUUCAAAAGUGAAAGACGGUCUUGCUGUCACUUAUAGAUGGAUCCGCGCUGCAUUAGCUAGUUGGUAAGGUAACGGCUUACCAAGGCAACGAUGCAUAGCCGACCUGAGAGGGUGAUCGGCCACACUGGAACUGAGACACGGUCCAGACUCCUACGGGAGGCAGCAGUAGGGAAUCUUCCGCAAUGGGCGAAAGCCUGACGGAGCAACGCCGCGUGAGUGAUGAAGGUCUUCGGAUCGUAAAACUCUGUUAUUAGGGAAGAACAUAUGUGUAAGUAACUGUGCACAUCUUGACGGUACCUAAUCAGAAAGCCACGGCUAACUACGUG
rnacentral:rRNA from 1 species